AGUUGCCGUGCUGGUUUCUGUACAUGUAGUAUAGGAUACGAUCUGGAUGUUGCUAGAGCAGUUUGCAGGGACUUAAGAGAGUGUACCACCUUCGGAACAGAAUACAUCCAUUUCCCAGGACAGGUUAUUUGGAAAGAAGAUAUAGAGUCAAACCCCUCCUCAUAUACUGUAGCACAAUGUGUUCAAUUAUGCAAUGAAGCUUCAACGUAUGUAUGUAGAUCAUUUGAAACAGACACCAGACUCAACGGGUGCUACACUCAGACAAUCACGUGGCUUGAUGUAACUGAGAACAAACAUUUCUACAAUGACCGUUAUGAUCACUACCAACGAAAGUGCACCUGGGGGGUCAUAUAGAACAUGUCGCUUCUGACAAUUACAUGCAUGCUGUAUCUGAUGAAAUGAUACAUAGAGGGUCAUG